rnacentral:tRNA from 1 species
GCCAGCCUGGUGUAGUGGUUUGAGUGUUGGACUACAGCUCUGGAGACCAGGGUUUGAUUCCCAGCUUGGCC